rnacentral:rRNA from 1 species
UACGAAGGGGGCUAGCGUUGUUCGGAAUUACUGGGCGUAAAGGGCGCGUAGGCGGUACUUCAAGUCAGGCGUGAAAGCCCCGGGCUCAACCUGGGACCUGCAUUUGUGACUGCAUCGCUAGAGUACGGUAGAGGGGGAUGGAAUUCCGCGUGUAGCAGUGAAAUGCGUAGAUAUGCGGUGGAACACCGAUGGCGAAGGCAAUCCCCUGGACCUGUACUGACGCUCAUGCACGAAAGCGUGGGGAGCAAACAGG